UGCAUAUCAAUAAGCGGAGGAUAAGAAAAUAACAAGGAUUCCCCUAGUAGCGGCGAGCGAAGCGGGAAGAGCUCAAAUUUAUAAUCUGGCACCUUCGGUGUCCGAGUUGUAAUCUCUAGAAAUGUUUUCCGCGUUGGACCGCACACAAGUCUGUUGGAAUACAGCGGCAUAGUGGUGAGACCCCCGUAUAUGGUGCGGACGCCCAGCGCUUUGUGAUACAUUUUCGAAGAGUCGAGUUGUUUGGGAAUGCAGCUCAAAUUGGGUGGUAAAUUCCAUCUAAAGCUAAAUAUUGGCGAGAGACCGAUAGCGAACAAGUACCGUGAGGGAAAGAUGAAAAGCACUUUGGAAAGAGAGUUAACAGUACGUGAAAUUGUUGGAAGGGAAACGCUUGAAGUCAGACUUGCUUGCUGAGCAAUCGGUUUGCAGGCCAGCAUCAGUUUUCCGGGAUGGAUAAUGGUAGAGAGAAGGUAGCAGUUUCGGCUGUGUUAUAGCUCUCUGCUGGAUACAUCUUGGGGGACUGAGGAACGCAGUGUGCCUUUGGCGGGGGUUUCGACCUCUUCACACUUAGGAUGCUGGUGGAAUGGCUUUAAACGACCCGUCUUGAAACACGGACC
rnacentral:rRNA from 1 species